GAAAUUUGGAUUAAUACCUUAUAGUAUCAAGAUGUAGCAUUGCAUUAUGAUUAAAGAUUUAUUGCUAAAAGAUGGCUAUGCGUUCUAUUAGUUAGUUGGUAAGGUAACGGCUUACCAAGACAUCGAUAGAUAGGGGCCCUGAGAGGGGGAUCCCCCACACUGGUACUGAGACACGGACCAGACUCCUACGGGAGGCAGCAGUGAGGAAUAUUGGACAAUGGAGGCAACUCUGAUCCAGCCAUGCCGCGUGUAGGAAGACUGCCCUAUGGGUUGUAAACUACUUUUAUAGAGGAAGAAACAGUUCCACGUGUGGAACUCUGACGGUACUCUACGAAUAAGGAUCGGCUAACUCCGUGCCAGCAGCCGCGGUAAUACGGAGGAUCCAAGCGUUAUCCGGAAUCAUUGGGUUUAAAGGGUCCGUAGGCGGGUCUGUAAGUCAGUGGUGAAAGUUUUCGGCUCAACCGGAAAAUUGCCAUUGAUACUGCAGGUCUUGAAUUAUUAUGAAGUGGUUAGAAUAAGUAGUGUAGCGGUGAAAUGCAUAGAUAUUACUUAGAAUACCGAUUGCGAAGGCAGAUCACUAAUAAUGUAUUGACGCUAAGGGACGAAAGCGUGGGUAGCGAACAGGAUUAGAUACCCUGGUAGUCCACGCCGUAAACGAUGGUUACUAGCUGUUCGGACUUCGGUCUGAGUGGCUAAGCGAAAGUGAUAAGUAACCCACCUGGGGAGUACGUUCGCAAGAAUGAAA
rnacentral:rRNA from 1 species